CCGAUAAUCUGGAAUGACUUCGCGUCUGAUUAGCUAGUUGGUGGUGUAAGAGGACUACCAAGGCGACGAUCACUGUAGCUGGUCUGAGAGCCAUGAUGAUCAGCCACACUGGAACUGAGACACGGUCCAGACUCCUACGGGAGGCAGCAGUGGGGAAUUUUCCGCAACCGAUGUGGGCGAAAGCCUGACGGAGCAAUACCGCGUGAGGGAGGAAGGCUCUUGGAAGUUGUAAACCUCUUUUCUCAGGGAAUAAGCUGUGAAGGUACUUGAGGAAUCAGCAUCGGUUAACUCCGUGCCAGCAG
rnacentral:rRNA from 1 species